rnacentral:lncRNA from 1 species
UAUGUAUUUCGUCUUGAAUUUCUGGGGCCGUUACAAUUGGUAUCAGAGCUGCGUUCCUCGCACCCGUCCCUUACACAAUAAUACUUAGAGAAGCACCAAACCAAUGAAUCAUUACUCAACCCUUCAUUGUGAAAUACAGGUACAGAGAGAUGAGAAGAAGAAGACCCCCACUAAACCGAGUAGCCCAGGAUGGUUCACGUCGGGAAGACGUUGACAAGAUAUUUGAGAUGUUGGAGAGACUCAUUACUGCCCAACAGGGUCGAGAGGAGAGGAGGGAGCUACCUGACCCUCCCCCCUGCCACAAGUUGAGCCACCACUACAGCGAGAGGAUCCCGAGCCACCCCGGUACGACCUUGCUCAUCUACAGUACCACCUGGCACCACUGCAAUAUAAUUCAGUGCCCUAACCAUAGUAUUGCCUGGC